UACGGAGGGGGCUAGCGUUGUUCGGAAUUACUGGGCGUAAAGCGCGCGUAGGCGGCUUUGUAAGUUAGAGGUGAAAGCCCGGAGCUCAACUCCGGAACUGCCUUUAAGACUGCAUCGCUAGAACGAUGGAGAGGUAAGUGGAAUUCCGAGUGUAGAGGUGAAAUUCGUAGAUAUUCGGCGGAACACCAGUGGCGAAGGCGACUCACUGGCCCGAUACUGACGCUGAGGCGCGAAAGCGUGGGGAGCAAACAGG
rnacentral:rRNA from 1 species